CCCGGGGGCGCGCUUUGCUUACGUGGACACAAAGAUUGCUGACGAGGACGCGUUUUGCUGCCACGUAGGCAAAGCGCGCCCCCGGGG
rfam:Gossypium raimondii chromosome 3, whole genome shotgun sequence.